CGGGGCCGGGCCCGGGCCCGCGCUGGGCCCGAGCAUCCCCGCACCGGGGCCACCCCAGCGCCUCCCCUACACCGGCACCGGCAUCCCCGGGCGGGUUUAUUUUUCACACGGCGAGGACAUCGCCCCGCGGCGCCGAGACCGGAGCCGGGGAUUGAGCACCCCCCAGGUGCCCUGCCGGGGCCACCCCGGCGCCCGGGCAGCGCCGUCCCGGAGGGAAGCGGCGGGUCCGGCCCCGGUGUGCGGGGUCAGCCCUCCGCCCGGGGCACACACGGGCAAAUCCCGGCUGGGGAUGCCGGGGCGCGGAGCAGAGGGGAUGGGGACGGUACCGGUAACCGUAGCGGGUCCCCGGCGGCCGGCCCGAGGGGCUGAGCCCGUACAAACUGCUGGCAGCCGCACACCGGUUUUGUCCAGGCUGGAGUGCUGGCGUGAGGCCAGCGAGGCCGUUCCUGCACAGUCCCAAGGAGCAGCUGGGAACACACCCUACACUGUCGUCAAAACACCCCACGGGGAGGGGGUUUUGCUUAAAACAGACCCCCCCGACCCCCCUGCUCGCUGGGAAGCAGAGAUGUCGUGGUGGCACAGGGCUCGGCUCAUCCUCCCACGAGCAUUCCCCGGCACAGCGAUGCACCCCGCGCUCAGCCAUGGGCACCCCAGGCCAGGCUGACCCAACUCAUGACUAUUUUAUGACGCGUGAGAAAGAUAGGAUUUCUUUGAUUAAAAAUAAAAUAAAAAUGAUAAAAGAA